UUAAAAAGUGCUUAUUUUAAAAUAUGACAAUCUACUGGGUGUUUACAGGAGACGAGAGGCGCUGAUUGGGCCAUGGUAAAUCGACGCGUAAAUCCACCAAUCACAGCGUGCUUUUCUCGUGACGUAGGAACAUUUGAAAUUGACGAACAGCGCGAAUGGUAGUUGAAGAAAUUGGCGCAAAAUGUCCCUGGUCUGAUUGUCUUUUUGACGGAAAAAGCGAGUACGGACUCGUUCACAAACAGAGUCGCGGCAGAUACAGAGUUGUGAUGGAGGAUGUUUUACCCGCUCGGACAGUUUGUGGCCCAAACAACAGAACUGUCUCCUGGUCAACGGAACUCUGCCCUCAACAAUAAAUACUGGAAUAAUCCAGACAGCCUACUUAAAUAUGGACACUGAUGAUGCAACAAAAAGUCUUCAUUUACAACAAAGGUACUUUGGGGCUGACAGACAGCCAUUGUGAAGGACACAAUCUGGCAAAAAUUUACCUGCAGAAGUGAAUGGGAGGAUAUGGGCUCUGGGGAAAAACUCUACACACAGACGCUCUACACACAUAGACGGCUCAAUGCUGCUAACUGGCAGAGCAGCUGGAAAACUAAAAGACAAGAAAAGGAGAACAUUAAUACGGACGACUGUAUUAUUUUUCUUCAAGGACCAGGUCAAGCAAAGACAGUGUUGAGCACUCAGAGCAAACACAGCAGUCAGACGCAGGAUUACACACUGGACUUUAGAGUUCUUCAACAUGUGAUGUUGGACAUUUACUGUUUCUAAAGCCAAUAAUUUAUGUGGAUGCCAUUUAUAGACCUGUUAGAUUUUGUUUUAUUUUUGAGAUUAAUAAAAUUGUAUGUUUUAACAA